CCUACGGGUGGCAGCAGUGAGGAAUAUUGGUCAAUGGGCGGGAGCCUGAACCAGCCAAGUCGCGUGAGGGAAGACGGUCCUACGGGUUGUAAACCUCUUUUGCCGGGGAGCAACGGGGUCCUUGCGAGGGCCCGAUGAGAGUACCCGGAGAAAAAGCAUCGGCUAACCCCGUGCCAGCAGCCGCGGUAAUACGGAGGAUGGGAGCUUUAGCCGGAUUUAUUGGGUUUAAAGGUUGCGUAGGCGGGCUGUUAGGUCAGCGGUAAAAUGUCGGGGCUCAACCCCGGCCUGCCGUUGAAACUGGCGGCCGCGAGUGGGCGAGAAGUAUGCGGAAUGCGUGGUGUAGCGGUGAAAUGCAUAGAUAUCACGCAGAACUCCGAUUGCGAAGGCAGCAUACCGGCGCCCUACUGACGCUGAGGCACGAAAGCGUGGGUAUCGAACAGGAUUAGAUACCCGUGUAGUC
rnacentral:rRNA from 1 species